GACGAACGCUGGCGGCGUGCUUAACACAUGCAAGUCGAGCGGAAAGGCCCUUCGGGGUCCUCGAGCGGCGAACGGGUGAGUAACACGUGAGUAACCUGCCCCAGACUUUGGGAUAACCCUCGGAAACGGGGGCUAAUACCGGAUACGACACAGCUUCGCAUGGGGUCUGUGUGGAAAGUUUUUCGGCUUGGGAUGGGCUCGCGGCCUAUCAGCUUGUUGGUGGGGUGAUGGCCUACCAAGGCGACGACGGGUAGCCGGCCUGAGAGGGCGACCGGCCACACUGGGACUGAGACACGGCCCAGACUCCUACGGGAGGCAGCAGUGGGGAAUAUUGCACAAUGGGCGGAAGCCUGAUGCAGCGACGCCGCGUGAGGGAUGACGGCCUUCGGGUUGUAAACCUCUUUCAGCAGGGACGAAGCGUAAGUGACGGUACCUGCAGAAGAAGCGCCGGCCAACUACGUG
rnacentral:rRNA from 1 species